CGCGAAAACUUUACACUGCGGGAAACCGUGAUAAGGGGACACCGAGUGCCAGCAUCAUAUGCUGGCUGUCCAGGUGUGUAAAAUACACCUGUUAGCAAGGGCCGGGCAAGACCGGUGCCAGCCGCCGCGGUAACACCGGCGGCCCGAGUGGUGAUCGUGAUUAUUGGGUCUAAAGGGUCCGUAGCCGGUUUGGUCAGUCCUCCGGGAAAUCUGACGGCUUAACCGUUAGGCUUUCGGGGGAUACUGCCAGGCUUGGAACCGGGAGAGGUAAGAGGUACUACAGGGGUAGGAGUGAAAUCUUGUAAUCCCUGUGAGACCACCUGUGGCGAAGGCGUCUUACCAGAACGGGUUCGACGGUGAGGGACGAAAGCUGGGGGCACGAACCGGAUUAGAUACCCGGGUAGUCCCAGCCGUAAACGAUGCUCGCUAGGUGUCAGGCAUGGCGCGACCGUGUCUGGUGCCGCAGGGAAGCCGUGAAGCGAGCCACCUGGGAAGUACGGCCGCAAGGCUGAAACUUAAAGGAAUUGGCGGGGGAGCAC
rnacentral:rRNA from 1 species